rnacentral:rRNA from 1 species
GACAGAGGUGCCGAGCGUUAGGCGGAAUCACUGGGCUUAAAGCGUGUGUAGCGGGUCCGUAAGUACCUUGUGAAAUCCCAUGGCUCAACCAUGGAACUGCUUGGUAUACUGCGGAUCUUGAGCCACCUAGGGGCAAGUGGAACAAACGGUGGAGCGGUGAAAUGCGUAGAUAUCGUUUGGAACGCCAAUGGUGAAAACAGCUUGCUGGGGGUGUGCUGACGCUGAGACACGAAAGCCAGGGGAGCAAACGGG